AUUGAACGCUGGCGGCAUGCCUUACACAUGCAAGUCGAACGGCAGCACGGGUGCUUGCACCUGGUGGCGAGUGGCGAACGGGUGAGUAAUACAUCGGAACGUACCUUAUCGUGGGGGAUAACGCAGCGAAAGCUGUGCUAAUACCGCAUACGCCCUGAGGGGGAAAGCGGGGGAUCGCAAGACCUCGCGCGAUUAGAGCGGCCGAUGCCUGAUUAGCUUGUUGGUGGGGUAAAAGCCCACCAAGGCGACGAUAAGGAGCUGGUCUGAGAGGACGAUCAGCCACACUGGGACUGAGACACGGCCCAGACUCCUACGGGAGGCAGCAGUGGGGAAUUUUGGACAAUGGGGGCAACCCUGAUCCAGCAAUGCCGCGUGAGUGAAGAAGGCCUUCGGGUUGUAAAGCUCUUUUGUCAGGGAAGAAACACCGGCUCUAACACAGUCCGGGAAUGACGGUACCUGAAGAAUAAGCACCGGCUAACUACGUGCCAGCCGCCGCGGUAA
rnacentral:rRNA from 1 species